rnacentral:rRNA from 1 species
UACGUAGGGUGCGAGCGUUAAUCGGAAUUCCUGGGCAUAAAGCGUGCGCAGGCGGUCUGUUAAGACCGAUGUGAAAUCCCCGGGCUUAACCUGGGAACUGCAUUGGUGACUGGCAGGCUUUGAGUGUGGCAGAGGGAGGUAGAAUUCCACGUGUAGCAGUGAAAUGCGUAGAGAUGUGGAGGAAUACCGAUGGCGAAGGCAGCCUCCUGGGCCAACACUGACGCUCAUGCACGAAAGCGUGGGGAGCAAACAGG